rnacentral:rRNA from 1 species
UACGUAGGGGGCAAGCGUUGUUCGGAAUUACUGGGCGUAAAGGGCGCGUAGGCGGCACGGCAAGUCGGGAGUGAAAGCCCGGGGCUCAACCCCGGAGGGUCUUCCGAAACUGCCGGGCUAGAGUGCGGAAGAGGCAACCGGAAUUCCCAGUGUAGCGGUGAAAUGCGUAGAGAUCGGGAAGAACAUCGGUGGCGAAAGCGCUCUACUGGACCGCAACUGACACUCAGGGACGAAAGCUAGGGGAGCGAAUGGG